rnacentral:lncRNA from 1 species
GAAGGGUACUGGGUAUUGAACUCAGGGCCACUUAAUCACUGAGCUACAGACUCAGCCCUAUUUGUAUUUUACUUAGAGACAGGGUCUCACCGAGUCACUUAGUGCUUCACUUUUGCUGGGGCUGGCUUUGAACUUGAAAUUCUCUUGCCUCAGCAUCCUGAGCUGGUGGAUUACACUUUUGUGCCGAAUAGGCUCCAUGCCUCCUAUUUCUAACAGGUUUGAAGAUAUUCCCACAUUUCAAGUUGUAAAGAGCAGGGCCUUAGACUAGCUGCUUAGAAAAAGCCUUCUUCCCAUGAUCACAUUCUAAUGGGGUAAGGCAAUAGUGUACUUUUUUUGAUACAUGGUAAUCUGCAAAAGUUGGAAGUUAUCUGGAUUAUAUGAUCCAAGUGGUUAUAGGAACUUGAAUAAGAUACCAAAUCUAUUUCCUCAUGUGAAAAGUAUGGAAUUUGCCAGGUGUGGUGGUACACACACCUGUAGUCCCAGCAGUUCUAGAGGCUAAGACAGAAUAUUGAAUUUAAAGACAGCCUCAGCAACUCAGUGAGGCCCUAAGCAACUCAGUAAGGACCUGUUUCUUAAAAUAUAAAAAAGGGUUAGGGAUGUGGCUCAGGGGCUAAAGGCUUCCAAGUUCAAUCCCCAGUACCAAAAAUGGGGAAUUUACUUUCAUAAUCUUGUCUAAGUAGAAUAUGAUAAAACUCACUUUUCAAUUUCAAUAGGAAUUAUUUUAGUGAACUACAGGAUCAUAGAAUUCUUUCCCUCCAUAUAACUGUCCAAAAGAU